rnacentral:lncRNA from 1 species
UUUUAGGUGACUCAGGAUCCGUCACCAGGACGUAAGAAACUUGGGAGAAAACGAAUCACUGUAAGUAAUCUGUCUUAAUCUUAUCGUAGAUCUCGUAUUACGUUUUAUAAGGUGAACUAGUGUUUUUCAUACAAUUUGAAUUGUAUACAUGAUUUGUGAAGAGAGUAAAUAAUCUGUCUUAAUCUUAUCGUAGAUCUUGUAUUACGUUUUAUAAGAUGAAUCAGUGUUUUUCAUACAAUUUGAAUUGUAUACAUGAUUUGUGAAGAAAGUAAGUAAUCUGUCUUAAUCUUAUCGUAGAUCUUGUAUUACGUUUUAUAAGAUGAACCAGUGUUUUUCAUACAAUUUGAAUUAUAUACAUGAUUUGUGAAGAAAGUAAGUAAUCUACCUUAAUCUUAUCGUAGAUCUUGUAUUACGUUUUAUAAGAUGAACCAGUAUUUUUCAUACAAUUUGAAUUGUAUACAUGAUUUGUAAAGAAAGUAAGUAAUCUAUUUUAAUCUUAUUGUGGAUCAUGUUACUAUGUUUGUUAAGUUUUUAACGUGUUAUUCAUGCAUGAUAUGUUAUGAUGGGUAAGUAACUUNN